GCGAGUGGGGCGGAAACGACACUAACAAUCCUUCGGGUGCGUUAAUGGGCGUCGAGCGGCGGACGGGUGAGUAAUGCCUAGGAAAUUGCCUUGAUGUGGGGGAUAACCAUUGGAAACGAUGGCUAAUACCGCAUAAUGCCUACGGGCCAAAGAGGGGGACCUUCGGGCCUCUCGCGUCAAGAUAUGCCUAGGUGGGAUUAGCUAGUUGGUGAGGUAAUGGCUCACCAAGGCGACGAUCCCUAGCUGGUCUGAGAGGAUGAUCAGCCACACUGGAACUGAGACACGGUCCAGACUCCUACGGGAGGCAGCAGUGGGGAAUAUUGCAC
rnacentral:rRNA from 1 species